AACGCACAUUGCGCCCUUCGGUAUUCCGAGGGGCAUGCCUGUUCGAGCGUCAUUUCAAAACCUCUCAAGCCCCUUGUUGCUUGAUGUGUUGGGUAUUCGUCUCUCCUUUUCCCUCCCUCCGCUGUUGAAAAACUAGGGGGAGAGGUUCCGGGGAGGGAUGUACCUGAAAAUUAGUGGUAGCGUCAUGAUAGCCUCAAGCGUAGUGGGCUUCCUCUCGCUUUGGAUGGUCUUGUCAUGCAGCUUGCCGGCCUUUUCUGGCAUGCUUGUUUUUCAAGGUUUGACCUCGGAUCAGGUAGGGAUACCCGCUGAACUUAA
rnacentral:misc_RNA from 1 species